rnacentral:rRNA from 1 species
UAGUCCACGCCGUAAACGAUGUCUACUAGCCGUUGGGAGUCUUGAAUUCUUAGUGGCGCAGCUAACGCGAUAAGUAGACCGCCUGGGGAGUACGGCCGCACGGUUAAAACUCAAAUGAAUUGACGGGGGCCCGCACAAGCGGUGGAGCAUGUGGUUUAAUUCGAUGCAACGCGAAGAACCUUACCAAGACUUGACAUCCAGAGAACUUACCAGAGAUGGUUUGGUGCCUUCGGGAACUCUGUGACAGGUGCUGCAUGGCUGUCGUCAGCUCGUGUUGUGAAAUGUUGGGUUAAGUCCCGUAACGAGCGCAACCCUUGUCCUUAGUUGCUAGCAGGUAAUGCUGAGAACUCUAAGGAGACUGCCGGUGACAAACCGGAGGAAGGUGGGGACGACGUCAAGUCAUCAUGGCCCUUACGUCUUGGGCUACACACGUGCUACAAUGGCGCAUACAGAGGGUUGCUACCUGGUAACAGGAUGCCAAUCUCAAAAAGUGCGUCUCAGUUC